GCCGAGGUCGCAUAGCCUGGCCAUUGCGGUAGAUUGCUAAUCUACUGUGCGAAAGCACACGGGAGUUCAAAUCUCCCCCUCGGCG
rnacentral:tRNA from 1 species